rnacentral:lncRNA from 1 species
AGCAUGAUAUUGAUGCCACUAUUGUCGUUGCACAUUUGUCCAGCGCCUUGUUUCCUAAUGUUCUCAUUGAGUCUAAAACUUCAUAUCUCUUGUCCCUUAUAUUCAGAUUGAGUAACCAGUAGUGACCCAACGUAUCAUCCUUGCAUUUUGGAUCUAGUGGUUCAAUCAUUGGGAACAUUACCUUUACAACAACAAAAUAAAAAACCAAAAAAAGUUAGAAUACAUGCAAGUUUCGGUAAGAAAAUGGUUUUGACAAUUAGACAAACUACAAACAAAAGUAAGUUGGUCAGUAAGUUUUUGGUCCGCUCCCAGCAACUACUAGAAAACAAAUCUCAUGAGCUUUGAAGAAAAAGACAUGAAAAAUGGGGAAGAUAUAAUGCAAUUCCUUACCAUGUCCAGCCAGUCAAGGUGCAUUUUGUCCCUGUCGAAUCUUUUCUUUAAAUCAGAACUGGUCAAGUCAAAACGCUGC